GUGGGGAAUUUUGGACAAUGGGCGCAAGCCUGAUCCAGCAAUGCCGCGUGCAGGAAGAAGGCCUUCGGGUUGUAAACUGCUUUUGUACGGAACGAAACGGUCCGGGUUAAUACCCUGGGCUAAUGACGGUACCGUAAGAAUAAGCACCGGCUAACUACAUGCCAGCAGCCGCGGUAAUACGUAGGGUGCAAGCGUUAAUCGGAAUUACUGGGCGUAAAGCGUGCGCAGGCGGUUUUGUAAGACAGGCGUGAAAUCCCCGGGCUCAACCUGGGAAUUGCGCUUGUGACUGCAAGGCUGGAGUGCGGCAGAGGGGGAUGGAAUUCCGCGUGUAGCAGUGAAAUGCGUAGAUAUGCGGAGGAACACCGAUGGCGAAGGCAAUCCCCUGGGCCUGCACUGACGCUCAUGCACGAAAGCGUGGGGAGCAAACAGGAUUAGAAACCCGAGUAGUCC
rnacentral:rRNA from 1 species